AGAGAGAGACAUGCGCGCAUAUCAAUAAGCGGAGGAAAAGAAACUAACUAGGAUUCCCUCAGUAACGGCGAGUGAAGCGGGAAGAGCUCAAAUUUGAAAUCUUCAAGGUUCUACCUUGACGAAUUGUAGUUUAAAGAAGUGUUUUCUGUUGGAGUUUUGGUAAAAGUUCUUUGGAAUAGGACAUCAUAGAGGGUGAGAAUCCCGUAUUUGACCAUUAUUUCCAGCUUUGUGAUACACUUUCAAAGAGUCGGAUUGUUUGGGAAUGCAGUCCAAAAUGGGUGGUAAAUUUCAUCUAAAGCUAAAUAUUGGCGAGAGACCGAUAGCGAACAAGUACCGUGAGGGAAAGAUGAAAAGAACCUUGAAAAGAGAGUUAAACAGUACGUGAAAUUGUCAAAAGGGAAGCGUUUGACACCAGUGUUGUUUUCUCGAAAAUCAAUUAAAAAAGGCAGGAUUUUGUGUUGUAUUGACUUUAUCAGCUUUCUGCACUCUUUUCUUGUCUUUUUUAAUGCACUUUUCGUUUAACAAGUCAACAUCAAUUUCUUUUGUUGUAAAAGGGUCAUUGGAAGGUGGCUUUCUUUUCGGAGAAAGUGUUUAUAGCCUUUGGCCUCUGCAAUCGGAGAGAUUGAGGUCUGCAGCGUAGAUCCUUCGGGGUUAGAUACAUUUGUGCUAAGUUAUAGCCUUUCAUAGACAACUUGUUGACUAUGAUCAGUCAUGUAGCUUACUCGCUUAUGCUAUUUUACCUACGCUUAGGAUGUUGAUGUGAUACUGCGAGCA
rnacentral:rRNA from 1 species